UACGUAGGGAGCAAGCGUUGUUCGGAUUUACUGGGCGUAAAGGGCGCGUAGGCGGCGCGGUAAGUCACUUGUGAAAUCUCUGAGCUUAACUCAGAGCGGCCAAGUGAUACUGCAGUGCUAGAGUGCAGAAGGGGCAAUCGGAAUUCUUGGUGUAGCGGUGAAAUGCGUAGAUAUCAAGAGGAACACCUGAGGUGAAGACGGGUUGCUAGGCUGACACUGACGCUGAGGCGCGAAAGCCAGGGGAGCAAACGGG
rnacentral:rRNA from 1 species